UGCAUCGCAAUGCUACACAGAGGAGCACUGCGUAUACUCAGGAGGAGAGCAUCCGCUCUGCAGGAACUACAGCUACACAACCUUGAAACUGCAAGCGGUGCUUGUGAAGGCAAUGCCCAGCCAAGGGUGUAUGAAGCAGCAGGAGUCGUCGUAAGAAUACCGGCUCAUAAAUCCAUGGGUUUCGCCUCCCAGAAGAUCGACUGUACCUUAUACGCAGCUUGCCUCAUGAACUGCUUUGCUGGCUGCUUCCAAAUGGCUGGUACAGUGAUCACCCAUCUCACAUCAGAGCUGUGAAACUCUGAGCCUACCUGGUCACUCAGCUCCUGAAACCAAAGGGAAAAUAUGACUGUCAGCCGCCAGAUACAGCCAGUGUUUGGAGUCGCUGGGGUCCAGAUCAUGGUAGAAGUCCCGGGCAGCGUAUCCAAAGCUGUGGAACUUCCCGUCCGGAGUCAGCAGGAUGGUGGUGGGGGUCUUCUGAUUGGACAC